rnacentral:lncRNA from 1 species
AACAUCACCACUGAACUGUCUCAUCAGAGGAGAGCUGCAGUCAGGGAGGUGGGGCGUCAGGAGCCCCCUCUGGAAGUGUUGAGUUUAAGAAUGCACUACUGAGACUGUGAUCCAGGAAUCAGGAAGCUGCCACUGCAACUGCCUUUUGACAUCUGUGAGGCUACGCUCUGGACACUUGGACACUGUUGCAGAAAACCUCUGUAAUUCCAUGCCCGUGACUGUCAGCAGCAACAGCGAAGACCACAAGAAGGUGACCCACCUUGAGUCCGAGUGCUUAAGAGGCAGCAGCAUGCUCCUGAGGAGGAGGAUCCUUGACAAAAGAAAGGUGAAAGUCAUGGAGAUAACCCUCCUGUACCUUGAAGAGCUUCCAUCUCUCCUGGAGAGUUCCCUUCCAGGGCUAAAACCUGGAAUUCCAGCCCCCUGGUACCUAGUUGCAUAUUCUUCGUUGUGGGUCCUUCUAGUUGUGGCAUGUGGGAUGCUGCCUCAGCGUGGUCUGAUGAGCAGUGCCAUGUCCACGCCCAGGAUUCGAACCAACGAAACACUGGGCCGCCUGCAGCGGAGCACGCGAACUUAACCACUCGGCCACGGGGCCGGCCCCUUAAGGAGACUUUCAAAUGUAUCAAAUGUUUAGGAAAUUGUGAAUUCUUUUUUUCUUAUGCUAACUGCUGACUUGUGUUGGGGAGAAAGGACAGAAAAGAGCAGGCAGAAUUUUACCUAAAGCAGAACACAGUUACUUUGCUAGCAUUUACUUGAAUUGUUGACAUUUUG